rnacentral:rRNA from 1 species
AUGACGUCAAGUCCUCAUGGCCUUUAUGACCAGGGCUACACACGUACUACAAUGGCCGGUACAAAGGGCAGCGACACAGCGAUGUGAAGCGAAUCCCGAAAAGCCGGUUUCAGUCCGGAUUGGAGUCUGCAACUCGACUCCAUGAAGGUGGAAUCGCUAGUAAUCGCGCAUCAGCAUGGCGCGGUGAAUACGUUCCCGGGCCUU